GACGAACGCUGGCGGCGUGCCUAAUACAUGCAAGUCGAGCGAAGUUUUUCUGGUGCUUGCACCGGAAAAACUUAGCGGCGAACGGGUGAGUAACACGUAAAGAACCUGCCUCAUAGACUGGGACAACUAUUGGAAACGAUAGCUAAUACCGGAUAACAGCAUUAACUGCAUGGUUGAUGUUUAAAAGUUGGUUUUGCUAACACUAUGAGAUGGCUGUGCGGUGCAUUAGCUAGUUGGUGGGGUAAAAGCCUACCAAGGCGACGAUGCAUAGCCGACCUGAGAGGGUGAUCGGCCACACUGGGACUGAGACACGGCCCAGACUCCUACGGGAGGCAGCAGUAGGGAAUCUUCCGCAAUGGGCGAAAGCCUGACGGAGCAACGCCGCGUGAGUGAAGAAGGAUUUCGGUUCGUAAAGCUCUGUUGUUAGGGAAGAAUGAUUGUGUAGUAACUAUACACAGUAGAGACGGUACCUAACCAGAAAGCCACGGCUAACUACGUGCCAGCAGCCGCGGUAAUACGUAGGUGGCAAGCGUUGUCCGGAAUUAUUGGGCGUAAAGCGCGCGCAGGUGGUUUAAUAAGUCUGAUGUGAAAGCCCACGGCUCAACCGUGGAGGGUCAUUGGAAACUGUUAAACUUGAGUGCAGGAGAGAAAAGUGGAAUUCCUAGUGUAGCGGUGAAAUGCGUAGAGAUUAGGAGGAACACCAGUGGCGAAGGCGGCUUUUUGGCCUGUAACUGACACUGAGGCGCGAAAGCGUGGGGAGCAAACAGG
rnacentral:rRNA from 1 species